ACACCGCAGGGCUGGGGAGGAAAGGGGCUCGCUCCGGGCGGAGAAAUCAGCCGCCAGCCCCGGGUCCCUCCGUCCUCAGGAUGCUCCCGGCAAGCCAAUCUAAGGCAACGCUUGCCAAGAAACCGUGGGCUUCACGCUCCGAGGUGUCCUUCCCAAAGAUGAUGGCAUGGGGAAAGACCGUACAAAGGUGUCUGGUGCCGUUUCUGCAGAACAGAUUUGUCCCAUCCUUCCGGCUGGGAGUCAGCGUCUCCAGUCCCUUCUCAAACCCCGACUUGUCAAAUGAGUCCUGUCUCCCUGCAAUAUUUAUACGCACUACAUCACCUAUAUUUCACAGCUACGUUGAGGUAGACAGUCUCCGGGACGGAUGUGGUGUUCAAAGAGAGCAAAUCAUAGCCGGCACAAUGUCACCAGGCAAGAGAUGACUGAAGAAGUGUGUGAGGCCAAGGUCCAGUUACAAGGACAUUAAUUCUCUUUGUGUCAAUGUUUUCAUGCUAUAAUCUGGUGCAGGCUGUCAUUUAUUUCUUCUCGGAGAUGAUGCAACUAUCUGUGGUUCCCGGUGAUCUCUUGAGCAUGUGGCCUGACAUUUCGGUCACCUCUUUCUCGCUCAUUUUCUUCGCAGCACAACAGUCACGAAUGCCUCCAAGUUUGAUCUCUUCCUUCCUCCCUCCCCACGCACACACAUGGAAGUGAGGGCAGCCCAGCUGGAAGCUUUCCUGCGGCAUUUCCCUUGCUAUUGCCUCCUAAAAGGGAGUAGAAAGAGGAAGUAGGAAGGGGAAAGGAAAAAAAAAAAUGGGGCACCUUAAAGACAAUGGGUGACUUUGAGUGCUGCAAGAGAGUUGGGAAGGGGAAAGCCAGAGGACUCUGUAGCACUGCAGCAAGGAUGGGAAACCCAGGGAAUUAUAACUGCAGCACAGGGCUGCAUCAAGGAGCUGGGAGCACAGGGGUGCUCCUGCGGUGCUGCUGUGCCCUGCUGAGCUGGGGAGGCACUGACGCAGCGCAGCACAGGCCCGGGGCAAGGGUCUGACCCAAGGUGAUGAGAUAAGGCACACAGGAGCCAAGCAGAGGGAAUUGGGAUGGGCAAGGGAGAGCCAGCGUCUGUGGUGUCUGUGUGGGGAGAGGGAGCCCUGUAGGGCUGCUAUAAACACGUUAGGGAAACAGCACCAAGCGCUCUGCAAAGUGAGAACUGCUGGAAGAUGGGGAAGCAGGGGCUAAGCUACAAUGACAGGAUGAAAUCUGUCCACUGUCUGUUUUCUCUCUGUUUAAUUGAUCUUCAUAGGA